rnacentral:rRNA from 1 species
GCGUAAUAGCUCACUGGUCGAGUCGGCCUGCGCGGAAGAUGUAACGGGGCUAAACCAUGCACCGAAGCUGCGGCAGCGACACUAUGUGUUGUUGGGUAGGGGAGCGUUCUGUAAGCCUGUGAAGGUGUGCUGUGAGGCAUGCUGGAGGUAUCAGAAGUGCGAAUGCUGACAUAAGUAACGAUAAAGCGGGUGAAAAGCCCGCUCGCCGGAAGACCAAGGGUUCCUGUCCAACGUUAAUCGGGGCAGGGUGAGUCGACUCCUAAGGCGAGGCCGAAAGGCGUAGUCGAUGGGAAACAGGUUAAUAUUCCUGUACUUGGUGUUACUGCGAAGGGGGGACGGAGAAGGCUAUGUUGGCCGGGCGACGGUUGUCCCGGUUUAAGCGUGUAGGCUGGUUUUCCAGGCAAAUCCGGAAAACCAAGGCUGAGGCGUGAUGACGAGGCACUACGGUGCUGAAGUGACAAAUGCCCUGCUUCCAGGAAAAGCCUCUAAGCAUCAGGUAACAUCAAAUCGUACCCCAAACCGACACAGGUGGUCAGGUAGAGAAUACCAAGGCGCUUGAGAGAACUCGGGUGAAGGAACUAGG